rnacentral:lncRNA from 1 species
GGCCCUGCAUCCCAUCUUUUGCAUACUGCUGCCACACGACCUGCUCCUGAACCAACAACUGCUGUUUCUUCUCUAUUUCUGCCAUCUGAACAUAGGAAGGUGGAGGAAUACUAAGCGAUGCUGCGAACGGAUCCCCUCCGAUGGUCUGCAUGGUACCAUCAGGUGCAGGAAGGGCGAGAACCGGAGCGGCGCCACGCCCGGGCACAGGCAAGGCCACACUGCUUGAGCUCCCUCCACUCAUCUGGGCAUUCACUUGCUGCUUCACAGCUCCC